AUAAAUCCAUAGAAGAAGAAGAAGAAGAGUGACGUAUCAAGCGGAUGAGGAUUGAGAUCUGAUGUUCGUGCUGGUCAUAUCGUACGCUUAAAACAGAUAAUACUACAGCUUUCAGAUGUCUGAGCAUGUCUAUGAGAAGUUCCUUGCUCCAGAGGAGCCAUUUCCACUGCUUUCACAGGGAGGAAACUUCAGUGAAAAUGCCACACUGGAUAUUAGCGACUUUGGGUGUCAGUUGUCAUCAUGUCACCGAACAGACCCUUUACACCGCUUUCACAGCAGCAGACAGUACCGCCACAAAUAGUACCCUGUCAUCAUAGCGACACCUUUCGUUCCUUGUUGCCCCAUCAAGCUCUCGCUGGAUCCUCUCUUCGGAAACCAAACAAAGGAAAGUCUGCACCUCCUCGUUUG